UAGUGUGUUGCAUAAUAUCAGUGAAUAGCUGGAAUUCUUGGAGUGAAACACUUUGUGCUUUGCUCGGACUCAUUCUGUGGGCAAAACUUGUUUGUAAAGAACACCAAGAUACAGUGUAGAAAGCAGCGUUUAACUAUGAGCUGUCUUUCUGUAGCUGUGUACUCAGUGCCCAUGGUUCCCCCUUUCCCAGGAAAGGCAGUCUGACUCCUGACAGGAAACUAUUAUCAAUUAAGUUGCCCUCAUUAGGGGGCAGCUGCAUCUGCUUUUUCCUGCAGAUCUCCUCUUGCAUGCAAAAGGAGGCAAGGAGAAAAAUGGGAUCUGGAUCUUUUCAGUUUGUGAUUAACCCUUUUUUUCCCCCAACAGAGAAGAAAGGCAUUGUUGCUUUUUCAGGGCUGAAGAGUGCUGUUGUGUUAGUACAGCAGGCUGUGCCACUCUCCAGUUUUCUACCUGAUGAAUUGCAAACAAGUUGUUAGCUUGUUAGUUAAUGUGUCUUAGUAAUGAGCCCUCACAAAGUGCUUCAUGGGACUUCCCUGAUGAGAGCAAUCAAGAGACCUAGCUGAAGAGUGAUUGGCCUUGCAUGCAGAUCCAGAUGUGGGAAAUGCUGCCUGCCUCCCCAAGAGUGAGUGAUGUGGCCCUGUUACCUGAUGUUAUGGACCUUGUGUGGACCAAAGGCUUUGCUGCCAGGCUUGCUGUGACUGUUACUGCAUUCAUAGGGAAGACGUUUGCCUCAUUCUUACAAAAAGACCUGGACAAGGAGGCCUGUUCCAUCAUAAAUAAAAUACUUGCUGUCUCUGUUAUUAAAUGUAUACCUGUUCCAGCAUCAAUUAUGGAUAAGGGGCGUUAUUGGCCC
rnacentral:lncRNA from 1 species